GCAUCGAUAGCUCAGUGGCAGAGCGGUGGGGCGUUUACCCAUGCAGCCCGGGUUCGAUCCCCAGUCGAUGCA